rnacentral:rRNA from 1 species
UACGGGGGGAGCAAGCGUUUGUUCGGAUUUACUGGGCGUAAAGGGUGGCGUAGGCGGCGGGGCAAGUCUGAUGUGAAAUCCCGGGGCUCAACCCUGGAACUGCAUUGGAUACUGCCUUGCUAGAGUACUGGAGAGGAAACUGGAAUUUACGGUGUAGCAGUGAAAUGCGUAGAGAUCGGAAGGAACGCCCGUGGCGAAAGCGAGCCCCUGGACGUCUACUGAGCUGAGACGCGAAAGCCAGGGGAGCGAACGGGG